rnacentral:rRNA from 1 species
AUUGAACGCUGGCGGCAUGCCUUACACAUGCAAGUCGAACGGCAGCAUGGAAGAGCUUGCUCUUCUGAUGGCGAGUGGCGAACGGGUGAGUAAAGCAUCGGAACGUACCGUGUAGUGCGGGAUAACGUAGCGAAAGUUACGCUAAUACCGCAUAUUCUGUGAGCAGGAAAGCAGGGGAUCGCAAGACCUUGCGCUGAUUGAGCGGCCGAUAUCAGAUUAGCUAGUUGGUGAGGUAAAGGCUCACCAAGGCGACGAUCUGUAGCGGGUCUGAGAGGAUGAUCCGCCACACUGGAACUGAGACACGGUCCAGACUCCUACGGGAGGCAGCAGUGGGGAAUUUUGGAUAAUGGGCGCAAGCCUGAU